GACGAACGCUGGCGGCGUGCUUAACACAUGCAAGUCGAACGCUGAAGCUCAGCUUGCUGGGAGGAUGAGUGGCGAACGGGUGAGUAACACGUGAGUAACCUGCCCUCUUCUUUGGGAUAACGCCCGGAAACGGGUGCUAAUACUGGAUAUUCACUGAUUCUCGCAUGGGGGUUGGUGGAAAGGUUUUUUCUGGUGGGGGAUGGGCUCGCGGCCUAUCAGCUUGUUGGUGGGGUGAUGGCCUACCAAGGCUUUGACGGGUAGCCGGCCUGAGAGGGUGACCGGUCACAUUGGGACUGAGAUACGGCCCAGACUCCUACGGGAGGCAGCAGUGGGGAAUAUUGCACAAUGGGCGAAAGCCUGAUGCAGCGACGCCGCGUGAGGGAUGGAGGCCUUCGGGUUGUAAACCUCUUUCGCUCAUGGUCAAGCCGCAGCUUUGGGUUGUGGUGAGGGUAGUGGGUAAAGAAGCGCCGGCUAACUACGUG
rnacentral:rRNA from 1 species